UCUUCGAUAGUAUAGUGGUCAGUAUUUCUGCUUGUCAUUCUCCGGAACAACUCGCAGGAGGCCGGGGUUCGAUUCCCCGUCGGAGAG
rnacentral:tRNA from 1 species